rnacentral:tRNA from 1 species
UCCCUGGUGGCUCAGCGGGUAACGCGUCUGCCUACAAUGCAGGAGACCCGGGUUCAAUCCCUGGGUCGGGAA